GGAAGAGAAGUUAGAAGCGACUGGACGCAGCGGAUUUCCCUGUGUUUUAUAUUAAAACUACUGUAUAUAGAAAUGUUACAGUGGCACAGUCGACAGUUUUAACUAAGUUUAUGAUUACAAAAGAUCCUGAUUUCAAGGUUAUCAACUGCCAGAUUGGAGAUAAGAUGUAUGACAUUAGGCCAGAAUUCCAAGCGCUGGACUACCACGAAGACAUUAAUAAUUCUAGUGAAGUCAAGCAGGCUUGUGAUGAAAUGGUACGUAGGAGAACUAUUACUUUACGUUUAAAUGAAGAUCAGAUAUUCAAUUAUGUCCAUUUCUUGGCCGUGCCAGUCAAAAUAGCUUAGUCUGGCCCUUCAGAUGUAAAA
rnacentral:lncRNA from 1 species